rnacentral:rRNA from 1 species
GCCCAAGAGAUCGGGAUAACACCUGGAAACAGAUGCUAAUACCGGAUAACAACAGAUGAUGCCUAUCAACUGUUUAAAAGAUGGUUCUGCUAUCACUCUUGGAUGGACCUGCGGUGCAUUAGCUAGUUGGUAGGGUAACGGCCUACCAAGGCGAUGAUGCAUAGCCGAGUUGAGAGACUGAUCGGCCACAUUGGGACUGAGCACGGCCCAAACUCCUACGGGAGGCAGCAGCU